rnacentral:misc_RNA from 1 species
UUAAGUUCAGCGGGUAGUCCUGACUGAUUUGAGGUCUAAAGCUUAAAGGUGUGCAGCUGACGCUACGACGCAUUAGAAGCACCACUAUCUUGAAAUGAAACGUCCUCAGCGAAAUAAAGCUAUUACGCCGAGUCAAGCCGUUAAUUCAAACUGGGUUACUCGUAUAUUUCAGCCGAGCCGAUCUCUAGUUAAAGAGUCCA